rnacentral:rRNA from 1 species
CCUACGGGAGGCAGCAGUGAGGAAUAUUGGUCAAUGGGCGGAAGCCUGAACCAGCCAAGUCGCGUGAGGGAAUAAGGCCCUACGGGUCGUAAACCUCUUUUGCCGGGGAGCAAGGGCCGGGACGUGUCCCGGCCCGGAGAUUACCCGUAGAAAAAGCAUCGGAUAACUCCGUGCCAGCAGCCGCGUUAAUACGGAGGAUGCGAGCGUUAGCCGGAUUUAUUGGGUUUAAGGGGUGCGUAGGCGGGCUUUAAAGUCAGCGGUAAAAACUCGGGGCUCAAACCCGUCCGGCCGUUGAAACUGGGGGCCUUGAGUGGGCGAGAAGAAGGCGGAAUGCGUGGUGUAGCGGUGAAAUGCAUAGAUAUCACGAAGAACCCCGAUUGCGAAGGCAGCAUUCCGGAGCCCUACUGACGCUGAGGCACGAAGGUGCAGGGAUCGAACAGGAUUAGAUACCCGGGUAGUC